rnacentral:rRNA from 1 species
UGGAGCAUGUGGUUUUAAAUUCGAAGCAACGCGAAGAACCUUACCAGGCCUUGACAUGCAGAGAACUUUCAGAGAUGGAUUGGUGCCUUCGGGAACUCUGACACAGGUGCUGCAUGGCUGUCGUCAGCUCGUGUCGUGAGAUGUUGGGUUAAGUCCCGCAACGAGCGCAACCCUUGUCUUAUGUUGCCAGCACGUGAUGGUGGGGACUCGUAAGAGACUGCCGGGGUCAACUCGGAGGAAGGUGGGGACGACGUCAAGUCAUCAUGCCCCUUAUGUCCAGGGCUUCACACAUGCUACAAUGGCCAGUACAGAGGGCUGCGAGACCGUGAGGUGGAGCGAAUCCCUUAAAGCUGGUCUCAGUUCGGAUCGGGGUCUGCAACUCGACCCCGUGAAGUCGGAGUCGCUAGUAAUCGCAGAUCAGCAACGCUGCGGUGAAUACGUUCCCGGGCCUU